UGUCAGAAUUGGGUGUAUGUGUGUGCUUUGAACAGAGACUACCAGAGUUGGAAGGGAUGUUAGAACACCAGAUAAAGCAUAUCUGAGCUGGCAGUGGUGGUGCUUAAACCAUAGAAUAUCAGGGUUGAGAUGAAGAACAUAGAACAUAAAAUGUCAGAGCUGUGAAGAGCUUAGAGCAGAGAAGGUCAGAGCCAGUUCUUGUUUGGGAGGCACGGCGGCUUCUGAGAGAAGCAGGAGAAAGGAUGCCUCGGGGAGCGCCGGCGCUGUAAAAUCCGAAUCGGUAGAAUGAAAGCAGGCAGCGUCCAGAGGUCUCUGGGAAAUGGUCAAUUGGGCCAGAAGAGGACAGGAAGGCUGCUCUGGAGGAGCUGGUGCUACGCCUCUCAUCCCUCUCUGCCUCCGUCGCGCACCGCCUCCCAUCCGUCAUCAGGACCAGCCCUCUUCUCCCUUCUUCACUGGCCCCAUCUGGCUCAGGCAUGGCAGUGGCACAGUCCUCUUCUUCCCGGUCUCUUACCCCUUCAGUCCUGCCAGCUUCAUUGUCCUCAUUGGGAGCUCAGACAGCCUCCCUCCACCUCCCAGACCUCAGGCGACUUCUCAUGGCCCUAGAAGAAAUGGCCAACUCUGGCAUCGCAGGAGGAUACUUCAUACCUUGCCAGGCUUGCUUCUCUCUGCGGGCCUUGGUUUGCAUGUUAGGAUCCAGGGGUUCAAGGAGGUCUCCAUGGAGACUCUGAGUCAAAACCGCUAA
rnacentral:lncRNA from 1 species